UCGAAGCCGCUGCGGUUUUGUUCCCCCAUUUAUCUUCGAUUUCACAGUAAGGAACUGUGGUUGAGGCUGUGUUGUUGCGGGCUGUGAGAAAAAGAAUUUUGGUCGCGUGGUUAAAUCGCAAUCGAGUCGUCGUAAUAUCUGAGCUAUCAAAGUGACU